AGUUUUCGGAUCGCGGCGACGCCGGCGGUUCGCCGCCGGUGACGUGGUGAGAAGUUCAUUAAACCUUAUCAUUUAGAGGAAGGAGAAGUCGUAACAAGGUUUCCGUAGGUGAACCUGCGGAAGGAUCAUUG
rnacentral:rRNA from 1 species